UCUGACCAGCCAUGCCGCGUGCAGGAAGACUUGCCCUCUGGGUUGUAAACUGCUUUUAUCCGGGAAUAAACCUCUUUACGUGUAAAGAGCUGAAUGUACCGGAAGAAUAAGGAUCGGCUAACUCCGUGCCAGCAGCCGCGGUAAUACGGAGGAUCCAAGCGUUAUCCGGAUUUAUUGGGUUUAAAGGGUGCGUAGGCGGCCUGUUAAGUCAGGGGUGAAAGACGGUAGCUCAACUAUCGCAGUGCCCUUGAUACUGAUGGGCUUGAAUGGACUAGAGGUAGGCGGAAUGAGACAAGUAGCGGUGAAAUGCAUAGAUAUGUCUCAGAACACCGAUUGCGAAGGCAGCUUACUAUGGUCUUAUUGACGCUGAGGCACGAAAGCGUGGGGAUCAAACAGGAUUAGAUACCCUGGUAGUCCACGCCCUAAACGAUGAACACUCGCUGUUGGCGAUACACAGUCAGCGGCUAAGCGAAAGCGUUAAGUGUUCCACCUGGGGAGUACGGUCGCAAGAUUGAAACUCAAAGGAAUUGACGGGGGCCCGCACAAGCGGAGGAGCACGUGGUUUAAUUCGAUGAUACGCGAGGAAACUUACCCGGGCUUGAAAGUUAGUGAAUGGUUUAGAGAU
rnacentral:rRNA from 1 species